rnacentral:rRNA from 1 species
AGCGAACGCUGGCGGCAUGCCUAACACAUGCAAGUCGAACGAGACCUUCGGGUCUAGUGGCGCACGGGUGCGUAACGCGUGGGAACCUGCCCUUAGGUUCGGAAUAACUCCCCGAAAGGGGUGCUAAUACCGGAUAAUGUCUUCGGACCAAGAUUUAUCGCCUUUGGAUGGGCCCGCGUUGGAUUAGCUAGUUGGUAGGGUAAAAGCCUACCAAGGCGACGAUCCAUAGCUGGUCUGAGAGGAUGAUCAGCCACACUGGGACUGAGACACGGCCCAGACUCCUACGGGAGGCAGCAGUGGGGAAUAUUGGACAAUGGGCGAAAGCCUGAUCCAGCAAUGCCGCGUGAGUGAUGAAGGCCUUAGGGUUGUAAAGCUCUUUUACCCGGGAUGAUAAUGACAGUACCGGGAGAAUAAGCUCCGGCUAACUCCGUG